rnacentral:rRNA from 1 species
UACAGAGGUGGCAAGCAUUGUUCGGAUUCAUUGGGCGUAAAGGGUCUGUAGGCGGUUUAGCAAGUCGGGUGUGAAAUCUCAUGGCUCAACCAUGAAACUGCGCUCGAAACUACUAGACUAGAGUUUGGAAGAGGAAGAUGGAAUUCCCGGUGUAAGGGUGAAAUCUGCAGAUAUCGGGAGGAACACCAGUUGCGAAGGCGAUCUUCUGGUCCAAAACUGACGCUGAGAGACGAAAGCUAGGGGAGCAAACGGG